AGCCUGAUGCAGCGACGCCGCGUGAGGGAUGACGGCCUUCGGGUUGUAAACCUCUUUCAGUAGGGAAGAAGCGAAAGUGACGGUACCUGCAGAAGAAGCGCCGGCUAACUACGUGCCAGCAGCCGCGGUAAUACGUAGGGCGCAAGCGUUAUCCGGAAUUAUUGGGCGUAAAGAGCUCGUAGGCGGUUUGUCGCGUCUGCCGUGAAAGUCCGGGGCUCAACUCCUGAUCUGCGGUGGGUACGGGCAGACUAGAGUGAUGUAGGGGAGACUGGAAUUCCUGGUGUAGCGGUGAAAUGCGCAGAUAUCAAGAGGAACACCGAUGGCGAAGGCAGGUCUCUGGGCAUUAACUGACGCUGAGGAGCGAAAGCAUGGGGAGCGAACAGGAUUAGAUACCCUGGUAGUCCAUGCCGUAAACGUUGGGCACUAGGUGUGGGGGACAUUCCACGUUUUCCGCGCCGUAACUAACGCAUUAAGUGCCCCGCCUGGGGAGUACGGCCGCAAGGCUAAAACUCAGAGGAAUUGACGGGGGCCCGCACAAGCGGCGGAGCAUGCGGAUUAAUUCGAUGCAACGCGUACAACCUUACCAAGGCUUGACAUGAACCGGAAAUACCUGGAAACAGGUGCC
rnacentral:rRNA from 1 species